GGCCUUCAUGAUCGCGCCGGUGCCCCCUUCAGGGGGCUUAAUAGGGAAUGCGGUGAUGAAUCCGCGGCUGUCCCUGCAACUGUAAGCGGCGAGCGAGACGCAUAGCGAUCCUCCGCACAUGCGGCAGGAUCAGCCACUGGGCCGGACGCUAAGUCAUGCGAGGCCUGGGAAGGCCAUGCGCCAAGCCGUGACCCGCGAGCCAGGAAACCUGCCUGCGUCUGGUCGCUCUU
rnacentral:ncRNA from 2 species